GGGCAGAUACCGAAGUGGUUAAACGGGGCAGACUGUAAAUCUGCUGGCUCCGGCCUUCGCUGGUUCGAAUCCAGCUCUGCCCA
rnacentral:tRNA from 2 species